CCUACGGGAGGCAGCAGUAGGGAAUAUUGGGCAAUGGAGGCAACUCUGACCCAGCCAUGCCGCGUGCAGGAUGAAGGCGUUAUGCGUUGUAAACUGCUUUUAUAUAGGAAGAAAGAGUUCUUGCGAGAACAGUUGACGGUACUAUAUGAAUAAGCACCGGCUAACUCCGUGCCAGCAGCCGCGGUAAUACGGAGGGUGCAAGCGUUGUCCGGAUUUAUUGGGUUUAAAGGGUGCGUAGGCGGUUUAUUAAGUCAGUGGUGAAAGACGGUCGCUCAACGAUUGCAGUGCCAUUGAUACUGGUAGACUUGAGUGAGAUUGAGGUAGCUGGAAUGGAUAGUGUAGCGGUGAAAUGCAUAGAUAUUAUCCAGAACACCAAUUGCGUAGGCAAGUUACUAGGUCUCAACUGACGCUGAGGCACGAAAGUGUGGGUAUCAAACAGGAUUAGAUACCCUGGUAGUCCACACUGUAAACGAUGAUAACUAACUGUUGGCUUUCGGGUCAGUGGUACNGAGAAAUCGUUAAGUUAUCCACCUUGGGGAGUACGCCGGNAACGGUGAAACGUCAAAGGAUUGACGG
rnacentral:rRNA from 1 species